UCUCCAUCUCUUGACCUCGUUAUCUGCCCACCUCAGCCUCCCAAAGUGCCAGGAUUACAGGUGUGAGCCACCGUGACCGGCGAGCUGUGCCACUUUCAAAGCUGAGCCCUUGAGCUUCAGUUUCUUCUGAAAGGUGGGCAGUACUUAGCACUUAGGUUUAAAGGAUUCAGCUGGUUAAUGUGAAACAUUCAGCUCCAGUAUUAUGUCUCAAAGUCACUGUGUCAGUGAACCGGCAUCCCUCAUCGUGGAAAGACUGUCUUAAACGAGUGCUUUAUUCUGUCCGUACGUCUUCCACUUGUGAAUUACAACUGCAAAAAUGUAUCUUUCUAUAGUAAGGUUGAAGUGAAGUGAAGCUAUUUCCCCGCUUCGGAUUCUUUGGUCUUUCCGGAGCUGCCAGGGGUCUGUGACCCCAUUUGGUAAGGACUCAGUGCCGCACACUGCCUCUCCAUCUCUGGUCCCCGCUGCGGUCACAGCGAAUGGUAGGUUUUCAGUGUGUGUUAGAACCCUUUCAGUCUCGAGCCGUUUCCCUGUGGCUGCAUUUUCAGAUGAAUGUUGCCAGUUCCCCACCUUCUGUCUCCAUCUCACACUGGUGUCUGCCCCACCUCAGUCCUCUGUGGGUGUUGGGACAUGGAGCUGGGUGGUUCUGAGUGCUGAGCGGAGAGUAAGGUCAUCAGAUGACUUUGCUGUUCAUGGCCCUGGGUUCUGGUGCUCUCAUCCGAAGCCCUCCCUGCCCAUCCCUUGGGCCGUGGAGCGUUUCUUCUGUUCCUGUACCCUAUUAAUAGCUCUCCUAACACAGUGGCUCACCUGUCUCUCCCAUGCCAGGCCACAGUGCCUUUCAAGGCAAGAUCUGUCUCUUCAUCCAUGCAGCCUCAGGUCCUGGCAGUAAUGGGCACUCACAUGCCUUUUGGAUGAGCUGUUCUUUGGAAAUAGUGUCCUUAGCUCCUGGCAUGUAAUAGGCAUUCGGCGAAUACUUGCUGAAUAAAUGAGUGGAAAAAUCUCAGAUCUUCAGACAGCUUCAGAGAGUGUUUAAAAUCCUUCUGCUUAUCGGAUCCAAAGGACCUUCUCUCUGCUGCACCUUCCACCGGGGCUCUGGGGUGGCCAAUCAGGAUCUCUCACCUGAGGCCACCUCAUCCCCCUGAGAGCCCGGGUGGAAUCAAAAGUGCCUCCUACUCGGUCCCUGGGGCAGGAGGGCCAGCAGGCCAGAGCGGGUCACACCCUGCUGUAGAGAAGCAAGGCCUCUCCAAUUCCAGAGCCCUUGGCUGGCCACCCAGCCACAGAGGCCAGGCAGGCUGGAGCCUCUGAAGAUGAGGGGUGGGGAUGUUGGCUUCUGUCUCUGAAAUUCGUCUGCUCGUGCUUGUGAUGCCGAAAUGAGCAGUUAGCUCUGUGAUUCCUGAGCCUGGGCCGACCUCCAUGUCCUCGGUGCUGUUGGAAAGGACCAGGGAGGGGCAGUGUCAGGGCCACCGCGUGCCUAGUGUGCCCUUCAGACCGAUUUGACAUGAAGAGGAAUCUUCCUGGCUGCUGGGUGAGGCAAGACCGUAGUGGUGAACACACUGUUCCAGUCGGCGGGCUGGGAGCUUCAUCAGAGUGAGAGUGCUGGCAGCCACCACUGCUGCUGGAGCCGGGAGGGCCAGGCAGGGCCAGCCAAGCUGGACCACGAGCUGCUGCGGCAGGGCUGGGGCCUGAGAGUCCUCCGAGGGACAGGAGGCAGGUCCGCUCUCCACAGGGUGAGGGAGAGAAGGGGACCUGAGAGCGUCGGGGUAGGGCCUAGGAGCUGCACUUCAGCCAUGAGGAGGGGCAGCCGUGGAUGGUUUUUAGCCUGGGGAGUGACGGGCCAUGCUUCCCUUUGGGACGGCCCCAGCAGGACAGUGCCUCGCCAGUCCACAUGAGCCAGCGGCCGCUGUGCCAUGCCUGCUCUUCCAGGCCGCCUCCACCCCCACAGCCGCGCCCCUGACUCUCGUCCCUUGUGGACAUCGGCCCUUCCGACAGCUUGUGUGUGCCCCGUGAUGCCCCCCCCCCAUCCCCACCUAGCACUGUUCCAGGUGGGCGGGCAUCCACUCAGCCUCUCCCUGGUGCUCACCCAACUCCCUCCCAGACAGAAAUGAGACCAGCCGAGACACUCUGUGGGAGGCUGUCCAUGAGCCCCAGAGCCCCAGGAGGGCCCUCCAGGCUGGUCCCACCAGCCCAGGGUGCAGCACCGCCUGGGGUGAGGUGGCGGCUGCAGGUGGCUGGCAGUUCAGAUACUGGAGCUCCCAGUGGGAGGGAUGGCUAGCCACUCACCCAGAACCUUCCCGGAAUGGGGGAGGAGAGAGCCCACUUGUGGCAGCAUCAACAGGAUUUUGAGAACACAGUUCUGGAGCUGAAGGCCUGCAGCGAGCCUGGUGCAGGAUGAGGCGUCAGACCUGGGCCCCUCCCAGGCCGCUGGGUUCCAGUGCUCCCGACAGGCCCUCUGUGCCCAACAAGCCUCACCCUGGUCAUGAGGGGCCCAGGGCAGGUUUUCUUUUCAGGCUGAGAACUGGGCCUCUGGGCCUGGUGAGGGGCAGUGGCCCAGUGGUGGCCACCUCCCAAGGCUCCUCUGUGGAGUAGGACACCCCUGCCAGGAAGGGCCGGUGUCCCAGCCCAGCCCUGGGGUGGGGAGCAGAGCCUCUCCCUAGGAGCCUGGGCUUCAAGCCUUCUCUCCCCACCCAGCCAGCCUGGUGGGGGAAGGAACCACCUCGGAUUUGAUUGAGGAAGACGUUUUUUUUUCUUUUUCUUUCUUUAUUUAAAGGGCUUUCCAGUAAAAAUCGGAAAACCUGCUAGUCAAAUUCUAGAAGAGCUGUGACACUGGAAAAGACAUUUUUGUAGCUAAGUUCAUGAACAAAUUCACACGCUCCACACUGCCGCCUUCUCGGCCUCCCUUUCCCCAGCCGAUCUCCAUCACCUGCCCCUGCCCUCAAAGCACCGAGUCCCCCAGGGCCUGUGCCUCAGGGCAGCUGCCAGGACUGCCAGUCCCCACCAGGGGCUGUCUCCCUCCCUGGGGGACACGCUCAGAGCUGCACUGGCUGGGGAGGCUCUGGGCGGAAGGGUGGAGAGACAAAGAGGUCUUUGUGUCCCUCUGGCUGGAUGGGAGGACAGACAGGUCAGCCAAGGCUGUGUGACUGGUGAGGCCCACCCAAGGUCCCAGACUCCUGCCACCACCUACCUGGGGCCCUGACAUGUGCAAGACAUCUCUGUGUGCCUCAGUUUCCCGGCUGCGAGGUGGGGUCAGGCCACGCACCAGCCUGCCUCCCCACCUGGCUUCCCGCCCGGCGUCACCAGCCCUCACAGCUUCAUGUUCCUGCGGUUUACCACUUUGGUGUCUUUCCUGGCCCCUUCCCCACGGGCACGUGAACUCGCCGCAUCCCCAGUGCUUUCACAGACUGGUGAGGGCUGGGAAGGGCAGACCCACAGAGGGCCAUAGCCGUGUGGGGUGGGGCACCCAGGACUGCUGCGUGGACCAGGAGGGAGGAAGAAGACCAGAAGCCGUGUCCUGGCAGCUCGGAGGCCCUGCGCCUGCAGAGGCCGCUGCGGGGCAAGGUCAGGCGGGGCCGGGAUCUGGCUCUGGCCUAGGUGAGGGGUGGCCAGGUGAGCAGAAGGAGCUCCCCAGGGCCGCCUCUGUCACCUCAUUUUCCUGCCAGGCCUGGGGCAGGGAGGGUGCCCAGCAAGCAUCUGCAGGCUGACAGAAGGGCAUGGUGCCCGAGGCUCAGUGUGGCUGGGAGCCAGGACAGAGCCAUCUUCCCGCCUCUGGGUCCCAGGCCAGCCCUUCCCAGGUUGGGCAGGCUGGGCCUAGAGAGGCACCAGGGCUCUGCUCACAGGGACAGAAAUGGAUGCGGAGGGCCAGCCGGGUUCCUUGAGGUCCCUCUCCCUUCUGCUGUCUCUGGGUGUACCAGUCACCCAGAGAGGGUGAGAGUGGAACGGCCGCUGUCUGGUGCUGGGUCACGGGCAGAAACAGCCUCAUGGCCAGGCCACCUGAUGGCCAUUCCCACAGGAAGGACUGGCUUCUGUGCUGUGUCCCAGCUCUGGCAUGACCAAGCCAUCCUCUGACCACCAGCAGCCACGCCUGGCUUCAGAGAAGCCAGAGAGCCCAGUGGGCCACGUGGACCCCAGCGGGCACCACGUGCCAGAUGUCAGCUGCAGUCAGUCUCCAACCACAGUGCCUGCGCUCUGCCCCACCCUGCCUCAUCGUCCUCAGAGGGCUUAGCACGAUGCCAGGGGCCCCGCCACCUGAGACCCUGAAGACGCCAAACUUGUUCCGUUCCUGCUUGUAUCCCCAGUACCUAGAGCAGCACCUGGCUCAACACGCUGACACCUGUGGGUGCACUCUGCAGGUGGCGUGGGCCCCGGGGGCAGCAGGAGCAGAGCCCAGGGGGACGGUUUUGCCUCCUGAGUCGGGGAACAUGCUGCAAAGCUCUGUGGGCACCUGUCUUGUGGGGCACGGGGGGUCAGCAGGAACCGGCACCCUCAGGCGUGGCUGGGUGUACAUGAGCUCUGUGCGUGUGCCACCAGGAUCACCCAUGUUGGGGGAGUCAGGGCCCCGCUGGGUGUACCCUUUACCUGGAGCCUGGCACAGAGGCAGGGCCUUCGGGUGGAGGGGCAUGCCCUUGCUGAUGGCCAGAGAUGAAAGUGAGACCCAGAAAGAGAUCAGGAAACUGGGAUGUUCAGAUUCUCCCGGGGGCCCCUCCAACUCUGCUCCUCGGGCGCAGCCGGCAUUUCUCUGCACGUGGGGAUGUAAAGGAAAAUGAAGACUUUUCAAAAGCAGAGCCCAGAGCCAGGGCCGGGCACACUGGAGGCCCUGGAAGAACUUCAGGCAGCGGGUAGGGGACAGCGCCAGGACUGCCAGGGCUUCCUGGGCCCCACAAGCCAAGGGAGGUUUGGAGGCUUUGCUGAGUGCCCCUGGGGGCAGCAGUGGGGUUGGGGGAGGGGGGUGGGAAAGGAUUUGGGGGCAGUGAGGACGGCACCAGGGGAUGCGGGCACCCAGGGUUCUGGCCUGGCUGGCAGGAGGAGGGGUGAGCCAUGGGGGCGGGGUCACAGAAGCAUGGGCAGCAGAACCCACUGGGCCUCGCCGAUAGCUGCUUAUUAAAGGUGCUGGGGUACAAAAAUUAGCUGGGCGUGGUGGCGGGCGCCUGUAGUCCCAGCUGCUCGGGAGGCUGAAGCAUGAGAAUUGCUUGAACUCAGGAGGCAGAGGUUGCAGUGAGCCGAGAUCGUGCCACUGCACUCCAGCCCGGGCGACAGAGCAAGACUAUCACACGCAAAAAAUAAAAAAUGGAAAAAAAAAAUUAAAAAACGUGCUGGGGAUGUCAGGGUGCAGGCGUGGGGCAGCGAGGCGCCCAGCUGCCUUCUUGAGCUGUGGUCUGGUCUGGGCAUUGCCUGCAGAUGGCCACAGCAGGCCCAGGGUGCUCUUGGCAGCCUGGGGCUCCUGGGCGUGUGUGCCCCUUCCUCUUGCAUCCUGGUUUCAUCUCCCCGGAAAGGGCAUCUUCCAGCCCUUAAUCCUGACCCAGCCCCUGAAAGGAAAAGCAGGCAUCCCAGCACCAAUGUGGCUAUGCAGGUGGUCCUGUGGAGCAGGCCAUGGGGGCCUGGGGAAGAGUGUGCAGGCUGGACGGCUGGAGCAAGGACCCCCAGGUUGGAGCCUGGCAGGCAGGUGAGAGUCUGCAGGGCCAGAUCCCACAGAGCCUUGGGGCAGCGGGCCCCUACAGGGGCAGGACUGCAUCCUGGAGAUCAGUGGCUCCCACAGAGAGCACAGCACCAGUCCCAGGCUUCCCCUGGGUUGGGUUCUCUUUGGGGAGCCCCCCAAGGCCUGCCCCACAGCAGCCCACCAAGUCUGGCCCAGUGACUGCCAUGGACCCCACACCGGCAGUAGGUCUGUGCCAGGGCAGACCCGAUAGCCCGCCCCAGGGGGUGCCUCUAGCUGAACGUGCGAGGCCUGUCCCUGCUGCAGUGGGGACCAUGGCUGGCCUGUUCCCUCAACCAGUCCCAGUGCACAUGGGCCCCACACAGCUCAGCAUCCGCACUGGCCAGGCUGGGUGGAGGGAGGACUCCAGACAGACCCUGCUACCUGCCGCCCUCCACACAGCCCCUGGCCUGCAGGGUGGCUCACCUGCACAGCACGUGGCUCCCUGACCUUGGAGGUCCCCCAAACGCCACGCACCUGCCCCUCCAGGCCCCCACUUGCCUGCUUGGUUCUCCCAUGUCUGGUCACCAGGUGGCGCCCAAGGCCAGGUUUUGCCGAGCCCAGAACACCAGAAGUGGUCCUGCCUGGGCCACGCCAGGUGCACCUGCCCUGGCCAAUGGUGGACAGGUGGCCAUGGCAUCGCCUGAGCUGCGCUUCUGUUCUGGGGGUGGAUGGCGCUUGCGCGGGGCAUCCAGUGACCACCUGCUACCAUCAUGGGUUGGUACGGAUCCCCAGCAGAUCUGGCAGUCUCUAACCUACGCCCCCCAACCCCCCUAACUCUGCCACAGGCAGCCUGCCCUGCCUGCCGGUGUGGGUCUGUCAUCAGGAUGGUGGUGGCUCACAGCCGGCUGGCAGGGGCUUGUCCUUCCCCGUGGCAGGGCCUGUGGGCAAGGCCUGUGCCAUCAGCCCUGCGUCUCUGCACAGGUGGCCCUUCCUUGGACCCUGGCCCGGCCCUCCUGGGUAAUUUGUGCUCCUCUUCCACACCCCAAGCCAAAUGCCACUUCCGGCAAGAAGGCUUUGGUGACCUCCCCGACCACGUCCGUGGGUGCUGACCCCAUCCCUGGCCAAUGGGGUCACCAUACUUCACAGUGGCGUUGGCAGCAGCCAGGACAGCUCAAGUGGCCGUGCAGCAGGCGGGGGUCACUGCUGUGAACAGCCGCCCCCGGAGCCGCCUCCACACCACACAGGGCAGCUGGCGGGCGGGGUGUGGGGCUGUGGCACUGGCUGCCUUGUGCUUCGCUGGUCCCAGUGGGGGCUCUGGGUGUGGUGAUGGAGAAUCAGUGCCUGCCCUCCAGCCUCGCUUCUUGGUGGCGGAGACCUCUGCCCACAGCGAGCCUUGGCGCAUGUCGCUGCAGCUGCAGGAACAAGCCAGGCCCCCGCGCCCUGGCCUUUAUGCCCCCGAGUUCUCCCUGUCUUGCCCUUUCUCCUUCAUUGCCCUAAAAGACCUCGGUGCCAGCAGACACACCUGCCACAGGGUCACUGAGGCAGCUGCCUCUGUGAAGCCCCCUCUCCCUCAGGAAGCUGUUUGGGGCCUCUCGGUACCCACUCCUGCCCUGCCCCAAACCCAGCCCUGCCUUCUGAGAGCACCUCUGGGUACCUCUCAUACAGCGCCGCGCUCAGGAGGGCUUCGGGGGGACUCAGCGGCUUUGUGACGAGGGCCCUGCCUGUCAGCCUCAGCUCCAGCCUGUCCCAGGGGCCUCAGAUUCUAAGAGGCAGCAGCGUUUACCCCAAAGGACAGAUGUGCUCCUGAGGAAGCCACAGCCUCUGCGGCAGUGCCAAGAGCCAUGGGCCUCCUGUUGGUAAAGGGACCGCCGGGUCCCUGUCCACCGGCCCCUCAGGAGCCGGUGGCGGCACGCGUGGGGCAAGGACCUCGGCCAGCUCUGUGCCAUUGGGCUGGAGGCUGAGGCAUGGGUCAGAGGGCCCAGCUGUGGUCUUCAGAGAGGGCCUGGGUGUUCCCUGCAUUCCCACCCUGCAGCCUAUAGCCCGUCACCUCUCCAGGACGCCAAGUGCAAGGAAGCCGUCCCGCCCCUUGGUGGGGUCGUCAUCAGCAGGUUUCAGGGCAGCCAGGGAACCCGGGGCCAUCUGUCUCCCCGGACACCCAGGUUCUCCACCCUGUGACAUCAGCUGACAACAGGAGCCAGGCUGGGCCACCCAAGGCCUCUUGUGCCUCAAGAGACAGAUACCCUCCUGCCACACCCCGGCAAAGCGUCGCUGCCCGGCCCCCUCCGUGCCAUCUCUAGGCCACUUUGUCCUGCGUGUAGGGCUGGUGGUGCUCACCCCACUGUGGGGCUGUGAGCAUCCAAUGGGGCGCUUGGUAUCCAGUGGCCGGCGAGGCGCUGGCCCAGCAGGAAGGGCCCAGCCUCAGCUCGCCGGCAUCAGAAGUCCCAGUCCUCCCAGCACAGGGCCUUGAGUCUGUCCCACAGGCCCAGCGGUGGGGAGUAGGGUUCAGGUUGGCUUGUCCUCUGAAUUCUAGGCCCCCAGCCUCCUCCUCAAGGUCAGCAAUGACCUCUCAGUCUCAGCAGGUGGCUGAGAUGGGGCAGCCCCUGGCCUUGCACGUUCAUGCCCACCACCACGUGUGCUCUGCUCGGAGGCCGCGCACUGGCCUGGGGCCCCUGGGGCCUGGGUGUGAACCUGGAGGCUGCAGCCCCAGGGCACGCUAAGGACUGAGCGCCUGCCUGUGGCUGUGGGGUGUAUGCAUGUGUGUGGCAUGUGUACAUGUAUGUGUGAGCAUGUGCACAUUCCUGUGUGUGUGUGUGUGCUGCGUGGCUGUGAGCACGUGUGUGCUGCGUGGCUGUGAGCACAUGUGUGCUGCGGGUUUGAGGGUGUAACGAAGUGGGACAAUUAGUCUGCCCCCCAGCAGCCUGUGGGUGGAGAAAGCUCUGAGGCCCCCCGACUGGGAUGGGGCCCUGCCAGGGGCUGGGAGGGCCAACUGGCAGGCUCUGCGUCCUGGGAACGCGCCCAGAGGAAGCCUGCACGGGCGGCGGCGGCGCCAUAGCAACGCGCACAAAGCGCUGUCCUACUUACACCCGCCCCCGCCCAUCUCGCUUCGCUGCAGGGGAGGGGGCAUAGGGCCUCUGGGGCUCCUGGGGGAGGGGGCAUAGGGCCUCUGGAGCUCCUGGGGGAGCCACGCACCCCGGCCUGUGGUCGCUCGGUGCCCCAGAAGCCUCAGGCCUCCUCCUGGCCUGGGCCAGGCCUGCAGACACUCCUGCCCAUCCACACACGGAGGUAAAGACGGGGUGCAGGGAGGUCCAGCACCCAGCAGGUGCCCCCCGCCCUGGGCAGCUGUGGACCUAGUGGCUCUGUAAGGCAUUGACGGUUUCCCAGCCCCGGAAAUCUGGGAGUCUUGGCUCUGCUGAUGACUGCAAGGCAAGCUCAGGCCUCAGGUGUCGGGGCUGGAGGUCAGGCCAGGAGCUGCUCGCAUGCCCUGCUCACAGGACGAGGCCCUUCACACCCUCUGCCCUACGCACUUGGCCUUCUGUCAUCCGCAUGGCCAGGACACCUCUGGGCCUGGCAGUGAGCCCUGCUGACCAGCACACCCCGUGCCUGCCUCCCGGACCCAGCCUGACCUGGGCCUGCUGCCUCCUCCUGCAGGAAGCCCACGUGGUCUGGCCUGAUGUGCUCAGCGCCUUGGGGAUGGAGCACGUGCCCAGUGCCUGGGAGGCAGAGGAACAGGCCUUGGGAGCUGGGCCUGAGUAGCAGUGGACAUCUGUGGGACUCUCAGGCCACCUGUCUCUCUGUGCUGGCCACACUGCUCUCUGCAUUGGCCACCCUGGGCCACUAGGCCCUAGGCCUCAAGACAGGGUACAGGGAGGUGGUGGGGGGGGAACAGUGUCCUGCGGGGGGCCAGGAAGCCAGGCCGAGGGCCAACAAGGCUGUGAGGACGCUUUGUGGGUCACCUGGACCCUGGGGACGGGAAGCCCUUGGCCACACAUGGGGGGUGGGUGUCACUCAACACCACGCAUUGAAAAUCAGAUAUUUUCCUGAGCUCUCCUGGAGGCCUGGGGUGGCCUGCUGCGUGCACUUGGGCUUGGCGGCUGUGGCCGCUGCCCUGCUGGGUGACCUGCUAGGUGACCAUGCUCAGCAGGGAUCUUCCCGCCUGCCCCAACCCAGGCCCUGGGGCUUCUGGGCAGCUCUGACUCGUCUGUCCUAGUUCCCCCUCCAGACUGGGCACCCCCGCCCCUCACCCACUGCUCCCUCACCCAUCAGAUGCAUCCCCUCUGUGUCCCCAGGGCCCUCACAGGGCCUGCCUGGGCCAGCGCCCAGCAGCCAUCUGCAGAAUGAAGGAAUGGGCUGAAUGAACGAAUGAAGCUUGAAGGGGCGGCCCCAUGCACCCCAUGUGUAAGUUGGGGGCUUGGUUAUCUGUUUGCACCAAGUGACCCUCUCCCAGGGUCAGAGUAGUUGCCGUCCCCUCCCCCACCUCGGCCCCCCCUAAUUUAUGCUACGAGGGGAGCCAGCCACUCGCUGGUCCCCUGCCUGGCAGCGGCUUUGUCCCCAGGCGGAUUCCCAACGGCUGCCUUUGGGAAGAAAGGGCCCUUCUCCGGCCGGUGGUGAGGUCACCAGGAGGGGCCUGGCGCACACAAAGGCCGCCCUCCCUGCCCCGCCCUGCUGGCAGCUGCCUCUUUGUCCCCAGGAGAGACGCUGAGGGGCCCCAGCUCAGCCUUGGAGGAGCCUGGGCUUCCAUCCCAGGCGGGGCACAGAGCGGGGGAGCAGCAGGAGCAACCCCAACCCUGACUUUGCUCCUGAUCAAGUGGCAACACCUGUUGAGGGGCAGCCCCUCCAGAGGGGGAGGGGCUGUGUCCAGCUGUCCGCCCGGGUCCCCAGGAGAGGCAGGCAGGCUUCUGGGGGUGGGGACGGCAGCUGCAGGAAGGGGUGAGGAACCUGAGGUGUUAGGAGCUGCCUGGGCAGUGUGACCCUGGUGAUGGGGGCUCUGGGGCAACCAUCCAGACGUGUGGACCAGCUGCUAAAACCAUGCCUCCCUGCCGUGCACGCGGUGGAAUGAGGGGCUGGCAGGCCUGGGGCACUCCUGGGCACUUCCAAUGCCAGCCUCAAGGAGACUCCCACGAGCCCAGUUCGGGAGCUCCUGAGGGUACCCCUGGGACGGGCAGGGGACUGAGGCUCAGAGAGGGCAAGGCCUUUGGCCAAAGCCCCGCCCAGGGUGGUAGGGCUGGGACCCGCCCCUGCCCCAGCCUCCCUGCCUUCCCCAGGCAGAGCACAAAGGAGGCGUCCCUCCCCAUGGAGGGCACUGGAUACCUCCUGGUGUGGGGCAAAGGGCCCAGUGAGGCCAGCGAGGAACGGGUGGCAGAGACCAGAGUGGCAAAAGCCAUGCAAACAGAGCAGCGGGGGCUGAGACCACCGGAGGGUGGCGGCACUGCCCGGCGGGUUCCACUGUGUGUUCACGGAGCGCCUACUGUACGCCUGGCUCACCCAGGACGGAAAGGAACUGUGUACACUCUUGGCCCACACGGAAUGUGUGCUUUAGCCGGGACCCUGGGUGCCACUGCAGACAGCAGCUGGGGUCCGACCUCUACCCUCAGGGCUGGGGCAAGAGGCAGGGGCUGAGGCAGAGGGACGGAGGGCGUGUGUUGGGGGAGGGCGAGGGCUGGCCGCUGUGCCCAGAAGCUCAAGAACCGUCUGUGAGGUGGGGAAGGCCACCGGGCACGGCGACCUCCUAGCCUCCCUCCUCCUGGCCACCAGCUGGGCCCAGAGCUCCUUAGCAGGGCCAUCCACGGAGGGGGAGGAUGUGGAGCCUGAAGGGAGCCACUGGACAGGGACAGCCACAGGGGCCCUGUGGCUCUGGCAGAGCCUGGCUGGCAGGGCUGGGGGCUACUGAGUCUGGGGCCAGGAGAGGGGUGGCAGGGGAUGGAGGCUCCACCAGAACUCCAAGCCCUGUUCUGAACCCCAUGAGGGCCUGCCUACACCUGGGGGCACCAGCCAGGCAGGCACAGUCAGAGGCAGGAGAGGCGGGGAGUGCCGGCGGCCCCGAGACAGAGGCCACGAAGAGGUGAGCAGGCCAGAGCUCGGGGCUGCAGGAGCCAUCGAGGCACCCUCCGACCAGGUCCUCAGUUGGGUGGGGGCUGGCAUCAGGGAGUGUUGAAGCCCCACCAGGAGGGUGGCUGCCCUUCACCCUGAGGGGCCAGGCAGCCAGUGAGCCUCAAUGGCCUGAGGGUGGGGGUGCACGCCACAUUGCUGAGGGACAGGUGUGGCCUGGGCCCCUCAGGGUUUCCCCGCCAAGAAGCGUCUGCUUCCCCGUUGCCUGGCACCCAGAAUGUCUAUUGUGCCUGUCGCCCCCACUGUCCCCACCCCAUCCAUGGCCAGCCCCCCGCCCACAGCUGGCCCAGCAUUCCUCUGCAGGGCCCGUGUCUCUGCAGGCCCAGGGCUUCCAGGCAGGGGCCAGGCCCCGGACUGCAUUCAGCCUACAUGUGCCAUGCCAGCACCCUGGGUGACAGGCUGGGUCCUGCCAGCUACCAGUGCUGGCCACUGGCCUGGGGCAUCUCUCCUUUUUUUAUUUUUUAAUCAUUUGUAGAGACAGGGUUUCCCUGUGUUGCCCAGGCUGGGCUCAAGCGAUCCUCCCAUCUUGGCCUCAGGCAUGAGCCACCACACCCAGUCUCCUUUUUUCAAAAAUAAAAACUUUUGGAAAUUGUCAAAGAAAUGCACCAGCAGAAUCGUGUGAAGAAUCCUGUACGCAGCUCCCAGGAGUCUGUGGCCAGCCUGGUUUGAGGUCUACUCCCCUUCCUCCCCAACCCUGUUAUUCAGAGUUGGAUCUCAGCCACCCUGUCAUUCCCCAGCACUUUGUCAGCAUGCUCGCAAAUGUGGCCACUCCUUAAACUCACAAAACGGCCACUCAAGCUUCAAGCUUCCCAACUGUCCUAUUUUGUAAAAGACAUUUGGUUUAUUCAAACUGGGGCCCAGCGGGGUCUGCGCACAGCUACCUGCUGUUGCUGCCUCAGUUUCUCUCUGGGAGCACGAGGGCAUUCACAGGGGAGCAGCAGGGAGCGACAGGGUCUGGGGCUCAGAAGCAGACAGUCCAGCCACACCGGGUGAAACUGAGCUGCAACUGACAGUGCAGCCUCAGAGGAUCAACCAGCUGCUUGCAGGAAGCUGCCAGAGAGCUGCCGCUUCAGUUAAUAACGGGGGUUUUUAUUUAAGAAAUAAAAAGAAAUGUUUGCGAGA